UACAGAGGUCUCAAGCGUUGUUCGGAUUCAUUGGGCGUAAAGGGUGCGUAGGUGGCGCGCUAAGUCAGGUGUGAAAUUUCGGAGCUUAACUCCGAAACUGCAUUUGAUACUGGCGUGCUUGAGGACUGGAGAGGAGACUGGAAUUACGGUGUAGCAGUGAAAUGCGUAGAUAUCGUGAGGAAGACCAGUGGCGAAGGCGGGUCUCUGGACAGUUCCUGACACUGAGGCACGAAGGCCAGGGGAGCAAACGGG
rnacentral:rRNA from 1 species